GAUCCUGGCUCAGGAUGAACGCUAGCUACAGGCUUAACACAUGCAAGUCGAGGGGCAGCAUUUUAGUUUGCUUGCAAACUGAAGAUGGCGACCGGCGCACGGGUGAGUAACACGUAUCCAACCUGCCGAUAACUCCGGAAUAGCCUUUCGAAAGAAGGAUUAAUACCGGAUAGCAUACGAAUAUCGCAUGAUAUUUUUAUUUAAAUAAUUUCGGUUAUCGAUGGGGAGUGCGUUCCAUUAGUUUG
rnacentral:rRNA from 1 species